UACGUAGGGGGCAAGCGUUAAUCGGAAUUACUGGGCGUAAAGCGUGCGCAGGCGGUUGUGCAAGACAGAUGUGAAAUCCCCGGGCUUAACCUGGGAACUGCAUUUGUGACUGCACGGCUGGAGUGCGGCAGAGGGGGAUGGAAUUCCGCGUGUAGCAGUGAAAUGCGUAGAUAUGCGGAGGAACACCGAUGGCGAAGGCAAUCCCCUGGGCCUGCACUGACGCUCAUGCACGAAAGCGUGGGGAGCAAACAGG
rnacentral:rRNA from 1 species